GAGUAGAUUGCCUGUAUUUUUCAUUCCUAUUCACCACUCCUGAAGUAUUGAAAAUACUAAUAAAUGUCAUGGAAACCACUGUGAGAUCUCCGUGGUGAUACUGGUUGUGUAUAUGCUGCAGGGAAACUGUUCUGUACACUAAGGUCUGCAGGUCGAGGCUGCAAACCUUGGCCCUGCCUGACACUGACUCAAGGGGACUUCAGGAAACAUCAUCUCUGUGUUCUUUGAGAGGAAAAAUGAGCUUGCCAAGUGUCGAUGUACUCCAUUAACCCACUUUAUCAGAUGAUGACUGAGAAAUUCGGGGAGGAAAGUCUGAAGUGCUUCAUGCCAAUGCUCAGUUUUUCAGUGUCCACCGCAAAGCCAUGGUCCUCCCUGGAGAGUGUUGAACCUCGCUGCACUCACACAACAUCCAUGGGAACUGGCGAGCACCAACAAAGAUUGUGCAGAGUUAGUUGAUGUUACUUACAGCGCACCAUAGCCGGUGUCUAUCUGCAGAUCAGCUUGCAGCUUCAUGUGAGGCAUCCAGUUUCUUGAGGGAUGAAAAGCAUAGUGUGGAGCUUUAAGGAUCAGCUAUGUCCAACUCAUAACUGAAUUGGCUUAGCAGCACAGCAUAGACUGAAAAGGUCACAGUGAUUUUGGGUACUCAAAGUGCCUCCACCUGGCUCUUUUCUGGUUGAGUUUGGGAAUAUCUGCUGCCAUCAGGUGACCAUUUCAAAGGGUGCUUACCAAUGAAGCUACUGAAGACAUGUGCAGAAUACAAAGAAAAGAAAUAAAUCUUCUGUCCUUCCUUGAAGAACA
rnacentral:lncRNA from 1 species